rnacentral:SRP_RNA from 2 species
GCUGGGUGUGGUGGCGGGCACCUGUAAUCCCAGCUACUCAGGAGGCUGAGGCAGAAGAAUCGCUUGAACCUGGGAGGCAGAGGUUGCAGUGAGCCGAGAUCGUGCCACUGCACUCCAGCCUGGGCAACAGAGCGAGACUCUGUCUCAA